rnacentral:rRNA from 1 species
AUACGUAGGGGGCAAGCGUUAUCCGGAUUUAUUGGGUGUAAAGGGAGCGUAGACGGCAAAGCAAGUCUGAAGUGAAAGCCCCGGGCUCAACCCGGGAAUUGCUUUGGAAACUGUUUAGCUAGAGUGCAGGAGAGGUAAGCGGAAUUCCUAGUGUAGCGGUGAAAUGCGUAGAUAUUAGGAGGAACACCGGCGGCGAAGGCGGCUUACUGGACUGUAACUGACGUUGAGGCUCGAAAGCGUGGGGAGCAAACAGGAUUAGAUACCCUGGUAGUCCACGCCGUAAACGAUGAUUACUAGGUGUUGGUUGUCAUAGACAAUCGGUGCCGCAGCAAACGCAAUAAGUAAUCCACCUGGGGAGUACGUUCGCAAGAAUGAAACUCAAAUGAAUUGGCGGGG